ensembl:lncRNA
ACCCUGGGCUCUGAUUUCUCAGACUCGAAGUUUUUGCCCAACUUUCCCCCACCCCCACCUCCCAACCCACCCCUAAUCUGCUCCUAUUCCCUUUUCUCUGGCCACCGGAUUUCCAGUUCUUCCAGCGCACUACUCAAGCCCCGAGAAAGCAUCUGUAAACUCAACUCCAGAACAACUGGCUUCAUGUUUCUCUGAGGCUGAUGGUCGUGUUUGAAAUGGAACAACGUAUUGACUUCAGAGGAAAACAUGCUGAAACCACAAUCUUCCUGGAACACCUGGAAAGCUUAAACUGGUUAUUCUCCCCAUCCCUGAGAAAGGAUGAUACCGUCCGUCUACUCUGAGUUCUGAAGAUCAACACACUUCUCCAUGCUCUUGUUUGAAGAGAAUUUGUCUUGGCUGGGACCCCAUCUGUAGCUCUUGAGGUAAUUUUGUAGUACUGCAUCAUGCCUGAGAAGGACUGACAUUGAAAGAGAGCCUGGAGAGGCAAUCAGAUU